rnacentral:rRNA from 1 species
UGUAGAAUGGUCCGGCGAGUGAAUGUAACUGGCAAGGUUAAGCACUUAAGGUGUGAAGCCGUAGCGAGAGCGAGUCUGAAAAGGGCGCAUGAAGUCAGUUGUAUUCGACCCGAAACCGGGUGACCUACCCAUGUCCAGGCUGAAGUGCAGGUAAAACUUCAUGGAGGGCCGAACCGACUCCCGUUGAAAUGGUAGCGGAUGAGGUGUGGGUAGCGGAGAAAUUCCAAUCGAACCCGGAGAUAGCUGGUUCUCUCCGAAAUAGCUUUAGGGCUAGCCUUGGAAUAGAUUACUGGAGGUAAAGCACUGAAUUGGCUAGGGGCCGAGAGGUUACUGAACCUUAUCAAACUAAGAAUGCCAGAUAAUCGUUUUCCAGGAGUCAGACAGUGGGAGAUAAGUUUCAUUGUCAAAAGGGAAACAGCCCAGACCUACAGCUAAGGUCCCAAAGUAUAGUUAAGUGGAAAAGGAUGUGGAAUUGCAUAGACAACCAGGAUGUUGGCUUAGAAGCAGCCACUCAUUAAAAGAGUGCGUAAUAGCUCACUGGUCGAGUGAUUCUGCGCCGAAAAUUUAACGGGGCUAAACUAUACACCGAAGCUUAGGAUACCGCAAGGUAUGGUAGGAGAGCGUUCUGUACGGAGUGAAGUCGUAGCGAAAGCGGCGGUGGACUGUACAGAAGUGAGAAUGCCGGAAUAAGUAGCGAGAAUUAAGUGAGAAUCUUAAUGGCCGAAAGUCUAAGGUUUUUGGAGGAAGGUUCGUCCGCUCCAAGUAAGUCGGGAGCUAAGGUCAGGCCGAAAGGCGUAGCCGAUGCACAAACGGUUGAUAUUCCGUUACCGUCUACAAUUUAAACAAAGGGACACAUACAAAGCGUUUAACCCGGGCGAUGGUUGACCCGGGCGCAAGGGACUGAAAUAAGAGUAGGGAAGUAAAUGUGGCGUAUGGCGAGAAAAGCUUUGUGAAUAGAAGUAGACGCCCGUACCGCAAACCGACACAGGUGGACAGGAAGAGAAUUCUAAGGCCAGCGGGAGAAGGGUAGUUAAGGAACUCGGCAAAUUGACUCCGUAACUUCGGAAUAAGGAGUGCUCGAAAGAGCCGCAGAGAAUAGGCCCAGGCGACUGUUUAGCAAAAACACAGGUCUCUGCCAAAUCGAAAGAUGAAGUAUAGGGGCUGACACCUGCCCGGUGCCGGAAGGUUAAGAGGAGGAGUGCAAGCUCCGAAUUGAAGCCCCGGUAAACGGCGGCCGUAACUAUAACGGUCCUAAGGUAGCGAAAUUCCUUGUCGGGUAAGUUCCGACCCGCACGAAUGGUGUAACGAUCUGGGCACUGUCUCAACUACCCACCCGGCGAAAUUGUAGUACCGGUGAAGAUGCCGGUUACCUGCGGCAAGACGGAAAGACCCCAUGGAGCUUUACUGUAGCCUGAUAUUGGGUUUCGGAAAUCUAUGUACAGGAUAGGCGGGAGACUGGGAAGUAUGAGCGUCAGCUUAUACGGAGUCAUUGUUGGGAUACCGCCCUUAGGUUUCUGGAAUUCUAACCUGCGACCGUGAAUCCGGUCGGGGGACAUUGUCAGGUGGGCAGUUUGACUGGGGCGGUCGCCUCCGAAAAGGUAACGGAGGCGCUCAAAGGUUGGCUCAGCACGGACGGAAACCGUGCCUCAGAGUGUAAACGCAAAAGCCAGCCUAACUGCGAGGAUGACGGUCCGAGCAGUAACGAAAGUUGGAGUUAGUGAUCCGGCGGUAUGUGAAUGGAAAUGCCGUCGCUCAACGGAUAAAAGCUACCCUGGGGAUAACAGGCUGAUCUCCCCCAAGAGUCCACAUCGACGGGGAGGUUUGGCACCUCGAUGUCGGCUCAUCACAUCCUGGGGCUGUAUUCGGUCCCAAGGGUUCGGCUGUUCGCCGAUUAAAGUGGUACGCGAGCUGGGUUCAGAACGUCGCGAGACAGUUCGGUCCCUAUCUGUCGUGGGCGCAGGAUAUUUGAGGAGCUCUGUCCUUAGUACGAGAGGACCGGGAUGGACGUACCUCUGGUGCACCAGUUGUCAUGCCAAUGGCACGGCUGGGCAGCUACGUACGGAACGGAUAAACGCUGAAAGCAUCUAAGCGUGAAGCCGACUCCAAGAUUAGAUAUCCCAUUGCAUAAGCAAGUAAGACCCCUUGAGGACUACGAGGUUGAUAGGCUGCGUGUGUAAGUGUCGUGAGGCAUUUAGCUUGGCAGUACUAAUAGGUCGAGGGCUUGACCAC